ACAACGACCUCAGAGCAGGCGAGACUACCCGCUGAAUUUAAGCAUA
rnacentral:rRNA from 3 species